GAUGAACGCUGGCGGCGUGCCUAAUACAUGCAAGUCGAACGAGGUGCUUUUGUAGCAAUACGAGAGUAUCCUAGUGGCGAACGGGUGAGUAACGCGUUGGUGACCUACCCCAAAGUGUGGGAUAACAGUCCGAAAGGAUUGCUAAUACCGCAUGUGGUCUUCGGAUUUAGAAACUGAUGACUAAAGGAGCAAUUCGCUUUGGGAGGGACCUGCGUCCCAUCAGCUAGUUGGUGAGGUAAUGGCUCACCAAGGCUACGACGGGUAGGGGACCUGAGAGGGUGACCCCCCACAAUGGAACUGAAACACGGUCCAUACACCUACGGGUGGCAGCAGUAGGGAAUAUUGCACAAUGGGCGAAAGCCUGAUGCAGCAACGCCGCGUGUGCGAUGAAGGCCUUCGGGUCGUAAAGCACUUUUCUGGGAGAUGAGCAAGGACAGUAUCUCAGGAAUAAGUCUCGGCUAACUACGUGCCAGCCGCCGCCGUAACAC
rnacentral:rRNA from 1 species